rnacentral:rRNA from 1 species
UACGGAGGGUGCGAGCGUUGUCCGGAAUCACUGGGCGUAAAGGGCGCGUAGGUGGCGACUCAAGUCAACGGUGAAAGCUCGACGCUCAACGUCGAGUCGGCCGUCGAAACUGGGACGCUUGAGCACUGUGAGGAGGCAGAGUGAAUUCCGGGUGUAGCGGUGAAAUGCGUAGAUAUCGGGAGGAACACCUGUGGCGAAAGCGGCUCACUGGACCACAACUGACGCUGAGGCGCGAAAGCUAGGGGAGCAAACAGG